rnacentral:misc_RNA from 1 species
GAUUACACUGGGUAAUGUUGUUGUUGCAGACUCGUAGAGGGGUUGAUAUGUAUGCAUGUGAGAGAACUGAGAAGUAUGGCAAACUCAUAGAUAUUUGCACUGAAACAAGGAACCUCUAAUUUAUGUUAUCUUGACAUCGCGAAGAAGUCUAGCAGCCAUUGCACCACGUCUUCUAGCUUCCCAAUCAGUAAGCUUUCUGUUCUCAAGAUCCAUAACCAGGUUAUUGUCUACCUUGUCCUCAUUGUCAGUCACAUCACCUUGAUAUUUACUUUCAUCUUCGUCUGAUCCAUUCUUAGUCUCUUCUGUCUGCUGCUGCUGUCUAACAAUUUCCGAGGUACUUCCUUGUGACUUGAAGCUCAUUAUGUAUAACUGGAUGCUUGGAUGUUGGUAAGUACUAUCCAUCUUUGCUUUUGGAACUGUUUUGACCUCAAAAUGUCUCUUCCAUGUCUCAAGCAUCUUUUCAUGGACAUUGGUUGAUCGAAUUUCAUGACCCAACAGAAUUGUUGUCUUUGGUCCAGAUAGUGCAAUUAUUGUCUGCAAAAGCGGUUCCAAAAGAUGUUCUGCAUAAACAACAUCAGUCCCAAUGAUAUAGUCGAAUGGAGGGCUAACAGCCUUUAUAUGAGUUUCAUUACCCCAGUCCAACUCUGCUGCCUGUAUGGAACCAAAUGAAUCUGGAUCUGAGAUUGUCUGCAUGAUCCUGGAAGUAUUACGCUCAACGUUUCUCAUUAGCAAUGGCAAAACCUCAGUUUGGUCAGUUGAAACUACAUCACAUCCAAGUAAUGCCAUGCCAAAUCCUGCUACGCCACAACCUGCCCCAAGUUCAAUCACACGCUUUCCUCUCAAUUUAG